GUGCUCGAUCAUUUGUGUUGCUCCAAUAGCGACAGCAACGGCGAAUAAUUCGAGAGUGGCUUAUACAUAGUUUAAACUUGGCAAACUGUAAUUUGUUGGAAGUUAAAUUGAGAAGCAAUUCUUAGUAAAUAUAUCUACUAGCUCAACUAUGUCCUUGGCUUUCACAAAACCUACACGCAAAGUGACCAAAAAGUCAACAUUCAAAUCGUCUAAAAGCCAGAAUAUUGAGGAGGCAAUUAGCGUUGAUUUUAAUAACAGUAUUCUCGACGGCGUCGACGGCAGCUGUGUAGAGAAUGCCAGUACGCCGGUUAAAGUUAAUAAGAACAAAUUUCCCGGCGUCGGUACAACAAGCUCUGUGUCCAGUUCAACAACCACCAAAACUAAAAUUUCCGCAAGCAUAAAAGAGCAGACCGAGAUCCUGCAAAAUGAAGACGUUGCAAGCGUCGAAUGUAAAAAAGAGAUACCGACAGCCAAAGGCAAAAAGAAAGCAGGAAGUAAGAAAAGUAGAAAAGGUGAAACGGAUCAUGAGAAUAUAUCGGUGAAGUCGAGCUUUAGCAAAUUCGAUGCUAUGCAGAAGCGCAAUUUAAUUCAUGUACGUUCAAGUGACGCUGGUAAAGCACAAAAAAAGUUCAAUAAUCCACAAUGUGAUAAGGAAAUCAACUGUCACCUUUGCACUAAACCUGUUUACAAAAUGGAGGAAAUCAAGGCCGAAAAGAGCAUUUAUCAUAAGAAUUGCUUCCGCUGCCGUGAAUGUAAUAGACAAUUGAAGGUCGACAACUAUCAAAGUCAUGAGGGAGUCCUAUACUGCAUGGUGCAUUUCAAGGUAUUGUUUUUUCCGAAAUAUGUAGAAGAUCGUGAGGCCUAUUCUCCGAGUAAGCCGGAAUUAAUCGUUAGAGAAAAUCAACCGCUGGAGUUACCUCCAGAUGUUGUAAGAGCUUCAGACAAACCUAAUCUCGGAUUGGAAGAAUUACAACAAUGUAAUGUUCGCUCAAAAUUUCAAGUUUUUGAAAGUGCAACACAUACCCAGCAGGAACAAGAAAAGUAUCGUCAUGAGCGAAUCCCUGUUAAGCACACCAAUUCGAUAUUAUCCAAAAUAACGAAAUUGAAAGAACACGGAAUUAGUUCAGAUCUAAGAUUAAAAGCGACUGGCGAUACACAGAUAAACAGUGUGAGUGAUUACUCCUCGAAGAGCAAUAGUGAUGUAAGCGAUGCAGAAAUUGAAGAAAAUAUAAAAGAAGAGUAUAAUGCAGACCUACUUCCCUCAAAGAAACGAACACAACGACCAGUCGGACUUGGUCAUGCCAUGUACGAUAUAAAAACAAGGUUUGAGAAGGGACACAUGAUGUCCAAAGAGGAGCGGCGGGAAGAACGUAAACAGGAAAUUCAAAACAUACGUUCACGGCUCUUCAUGGGAAAACAAGCUCGUAUCAAAGAGAUGUACCAACAAGCUGUCGCUGAAUCAGAGCAAGGAAUUACGGCAUCCAACAAAAAACUCGUCAUAGAGCAUGAAGGGGCUACUCGUUCGCUUAAAGAACGAUUCGAAAAAGGAGAAGUAUUUAAAAAUUCUCGAGAUAAUAGCGAAGAUAGUUCGACAUAUCACAAGACUUUACAGAAUGAAGAUGUUUUUGAAUCAGCGAUUAGUAAAAAAUCGCGGAGCAUAUUUAUGGAAUUGGAUGCUAAUGUGGUUGCUAGCAGAAAAAAUUUGAACUCACCAAAAUCGCCACAAGUAGAUAAACUUCACGUAUAUAACGCAAAAGGACAGAAUAGCGAAAAUGAAAACGAGGAUAUCGUUAAGCAUGAUGAGAAACCAGAGGAUAUAAAAAUUGAGACCUCAGAAAUAAGUUCGAAAUUUAAAUUUUUUGAAACAUAUCGUCCAACUGAGCAAAAAAGGAAGGAAUUUCGUAUAACUCCGCCAAGGGAGGGAGUUGUGAAAAUGCCCACGCCUGAAUCGGAAGUUGAAGACCCAAACGAUACUGAUAAGCUAGAGGAAGAAACUCACAUACUCGAAAAAUCUCACACUACCGCAAUGAUUUUAAAUAAAUUUCGUGAAAUUGAACAAAAUAGUAGGGGCAAAAAAGCUGGUCCAAGACCGCUGAAGUGUUUUACACCUCCUUUAGAUGAUGGUAACAGUGUGUAUGAUGAUGACAACAGCACCGACGUAGAAUCACAGGAUGAAAACGAAGACUGCGAGGAAGAGGAUGACGAUGAAGAUUACUACUCAUCAAGUAGGAAUUACAAGUGUUCUCUGGAUGACGAGGCUCUCAAGGAGGCAAAAACAGCAGCACGUGCUAAACAACUACGAGUGAAAUUCGAGAAGUGGGAGGCCAAUGACAAAGAGCGGGAAUUGAAUGAAGGUCCCAUUGAUAUCUACUCUAACGAAGUAUCUGAUAACUCAAAUAUUGAAAGCACAAAAAUCAUACGGGAGCGAUUUGAAAAUAUGAAAAACUCAACACAGACCACUCAACAAGCAAGGCCGCGGUAUCAAGUUAAUCGUUUCGUGUAAAAACUCAGAAGAUCAAGCAUCUGUCUAUGAAAACUGCUGAAUUCGGUAGCGCCUAAUGAAUAUUGCAAACUUCUGUCGACUUUA
rnacentral:misc_RNA from 1 species